GACGAACGCUGGCGGCGUGCCUUACACAUGCAAGUCGAACGGAGUGGCGAACGGGUGCGUAAUGUAUCGGAACGUGCCCAGUAGCGGGGGAUAACUACGCGAAAGCGUAGCUAAUACCGCAUACUAUUGGAGCGGCCGGUAUGGGAUUAGCUAGUUGGUGGGGUAACGGCUCACCAAGGCGACGAUCCGUAGCUGGUUUGAGAGGACGACCAGCCACACUGGGACUGAGACACGGCCCAGACUCCUACGGGAGGCAGCAGUGGGGAAUAUUGGACAAUGGGCGAAAGCCUGAUCCAGCCAUCCCGCGUGUGCGAUGAAGGCCUUCGGGUUGUAAAGUACUUUUGGCAGGAAGGCGGUACCUGCAGAAUAAGCACCGGCUAACUACGUGCCAGCAGCCGCGGUAAUUC
rnacentral:rRNA from 1 species